rnacentral:rRNA from 1 species
UGGGGGAUAUUGCACAAUGGGCGAAAGCCUGAUGCAGCGACGCCGCGUGGGGGAUGAAGGCCUUCGGGUUGUAAACUUCUUGUGCUCUGAACAAGGCAUGCCUUUGGGGUGUGUUGAGUGUAGGGGUUGAUUAGCGCCGGCUAACUACGUGCCAGCAGCCGCGGUAAUACGUAGGGCGCGAGCGUUGUCCGGAAUUAUUGGGCGUAAAGGGCUUGUAGGUGGCUGGUUGCGUCUGUCGUGAAAGCUCAUGGCUUAACUGUGGGUUUGCGGUGGGUACGGGCUGGCUUGAGUGCAGUAGGGGAGGCUGGAAUUCCUGGUGUAGCGGUGGAAUGCGCAGAUAUCAGGAGGAAUACCGGUGGCGAAGGCGGGUCUCUGGGCUGUUACUGACGCUGAGGAGCGAAAGCGUGGGGAGCGAACAGG